rnacentral:lncRNA from 1 species
GGUGGAGGCUAAGGAGAUUUAUAAUCUGCCAUCUGCAACCUGGAGACUAAGGAGAGCCAGUGGAAUUGUGCCAGUUGAAGUUCAAAAGCAUGAGAACCAGAAGAACUGAUGAUGUGAACAGAUGCACGUACGUUGAGAGGAGCGCACGUACGUUGAGAGGAGCGCACGUACGUUGAGAGGAGCGCACCGGAGAAAGAACACACGAGCUGCGGGACAGUGAGAGGAACACACUGGUAGAAGAGCACACAGGCAGCUGGAUGUCGAGAGGAGCGGAAGAGCACAGCGACAGGCACUGGUGUCGACCAGCGGAACGACGUGGAGUUUGGCCUGGGAGGUCAGAGAAGAAUUUGGCUGCUGGGCAGCCCCACUAUAGGGGAAAACCACCUUCCCACUCCAUUCCCCUUCUGAUCUCCCCAUCCACCUCGCUGAGAGCUACCACAACUCAAUAAAAAACCUAGCACUCGAUCUCCAAGCCCACAUGUGAUCCAAUUUUUCCCGUGCACUAAAGCAAGAACCUGGGAUACAGAAAGCCGUCUGUCCUUGUGAUAAGGCAGAGGGUCUAAUUGAGCUGAUUAACACAAGCCACCUGCGGACAGCUAAGCUGAAAAAGCAUCCUGUAACACACGCCCACUGGGGCCUCAGGAGGUGUAAACAUUCACCCCGAGAGGCUGCAUGGGUCCGCGCCCAUGGUCCCCAUGACUUGCCUGUUUGCCUGCUCUGGCUAAGGGUCUUGACCAGUGGGGCACUGAAGAAGCGAGCCACACCUCCAUCGUACGCCCUGCGAGGAGGGGUCUCACUCAGUGACCCAGGCUGAAUGCAGUGGAACAAUCAUGGCUUACUGUAGCCUUGACCUUGAGGGCUUAAGCAAUCCUGCCACCUCAGCCUGCCUAGUACUGGGACUACAGAAACAUCAAAUAUAUUCAGCUCCCGUCUCUCUUCAACCAUGUAAAAUUAUUUCAACAACUAUCAGCUAUUGAAGGUGAAACUGGCAUGUCUGUUUGUUCUUCUCUUCCUGGUGUCAAAGACUCUUAAAGCAUGCAUAUAAAAUAUGAAAGUAAAUAAAACGUA